GCCUGGGUGGCUCAGUUGGUUGGGCGUCAGACUUCAGCUCAGGUCAUGAUCUUACAGUUCGUGGGUUCGAGUCCUGCAUCAGGCU
rnacentral:tRNA from 1 species